GGCCUCAUGGCACAACGGCAGCGUGUCUGACUCCAGUAGCAGAAGGUUGUGUGUUCAAGUCACACUGGGGUCA
rnacentral:tRNA from 1 species